GACGAACGCUGGCGGCGUGCUUAACACAUGCAAGUCGAACGGAAAGGCCCUGCUUUUGUGGGGUGCUCGAGUGGCGAACGGGUGAGUAACACGUGAGUAACCUGCCCUUGACUUUGGGAUAACUUCAGGAAACUGGGGCUAAUACCGGAUAGGAGCUCCUGCUGCAUGGUGGGGGUUGGAAAGUUUCGGCGGUUGGGGAUGGACUCGCGGCUUAUCAGCUUGUUGGUGGGGUAGUGGCUUACCAAGGCUUUGACGGGUAGCCGGCCUGAGAGGGUGACCGGCCACAGUGGGACUGAGAUACCGCUCAGACUCCUACGGGAGGCAGGAGUGGGGAAUAGUGCACAAUGGGCGGAAGACUGAUGCAGCAACGCCGCGUGCGGGAUGACGGCCUUCGGGUUGUAAACCGCUUUCGCCUGUGACGAAGCGUGAGUGACGGUAAUGGGUAAAGAAGCACCGGCUAACUACGUG
rnacentral:rRNA from 1 species